AGGCUCGUAGUUUAACGGACAGAAUAUCCGGUUUCGGCCCGGCUGAUGGGGGUUCGAAUCCCUCCGAGCCUA
rnacentral:tRNA from 1 species